AUAUCAAUAAGCGGAGGAAAAGAAACUAACAAGGAUUCCCCUAGUAACGGCGAGUGAAGCGGGAACAGCUCAAAUUUUAAAUCUGGCUGCUUCGCAGUCCGAGUUGUAAUUUGAAGGCGUCUGUCGCAUGUGAGACGAUGGCACAAGUCCUCUGGAACGUGGCAUCAUAGAGGGUGAGAAUCCCGUCUCUGGUCGUUGUCUUGCAGGCACACAACAGGCGAUCCGAAGAGUCGAGUUGUUUGGGAUUGCAGCUCCAAAUGGGUGGUAAACUCCAUCUAAGGCUAAAUAUUGGCGAGAGACCGAUAGCGCACAAGUA
rnacentral:rRNA from 1 species